GGGAGAGCAGACGCUGUGAAUCUCCUCCCCCCUUGAGAACAGUGCCUCUCACAAAGGGCCCUUGGGACAGAUAUCAAGUCUGAUGGCGGUGGCAGCCGGCGGGCAGGGAGCUUCUCACUGGGCAGAUGAGGGAGCUGAGGCUCAGAGAGCAUCAGGCACGUGCCCGGAGUCACUCAGGGAGUGAAUGCGGGAACCUGGCUGGACGCUGAAGUUAGGGGGCAUCUUUCCCACCAGGCGGCGCUGCUCUAGGGAGAUGGUGACAGGCACCUCUGAGGCCACAGAGAACUUCCGGGACCUUUCCUGCCACUGAUCAAGGCACCAUCGGCCACCCUCUGAAGGAGGUACCAGUGCUACUGCGCCACAGAGAGGGGCAGCCCGAGGCGCUAACCCCACACCCCAUCAGGGCCUCUGCUUGCUCUGCUGCUCUGAACUUUUGCUUCAGGGACAGCGAGGAGGCACCUGAGGGGCCCCCUCAGUCUCACGCUGCCUGGGUCUCCCUCCCCCAGCUGGGGGUGGGGCUAGGUUCCCAGCGUCCCCCUCCCCCUCUGGAGAGCCCCCUGAGGCACCCUUUGUUAUUGCCUUCUGGGAGGUCACUGGCUGACCCUCUGCCCCCCUGGAGCCAAGGGCAGAGGGAUGGGACAGAGAUACCUCUGUUUUGAAAGAGGGCAUAGGUCAGGGCAUGGGACAGAUGGGGGAGGGGGCGCAGAACCCCUGAGGGGCAGUGAAACGCCCAGCAUGCCAAGGGAGGUAUGCCAAGGACAUGUGUCAAGGACGGGAGGAGGGGGUGCUGGGCGGAGGUGGACAUGUUACUUCACUGACAUCUUUUCUGUGGAGGGGUGGUUUACAGUGGCCUCCGGGGGCAUAUGUUCUCCUCUGUCCCCCGGCAGUGUCCCAAACCUGUGUUAGCCUCUUGACCAUACGUAUGUUGUGUAAUCUCUCUAACCCUCGGGGUUGCCUCUCUAUGAACUAGGAAUAACAAUAACACCUUUUUGAUGGA